rnacentral:rRNA from 1 species
GACGAACGCUGGCGGCGUGCUUAACACAUGCAAGUCGAACGGAAAGGCCCUGCUUGCAGUGUACUGGAGUGGCGAGCGGGUGAGUAACACGUGGGUGGUCUGCCCUGCACUUCGGGAUAGGCCUGGUCGGCUGGGUCUAGUACCGGAUAGGAGACAUUUUUAGUCUGAUGGUUGGAUAGUUUUUUCGGUGUAGGCUGAGCUCGCGGGCUAUCAGCUUGUUGGUGGGGUAAUGGCCUACCAAGGCGGCGACGGGUAGCCGGCCUGAGAGGGUGGACGGCCACAGUGGGACUGAGAGACGGCCGCGGCUCCGACGGGAGGCAGAAGUGGGGAAUAUUGCACAAUGGGCGCAAGCCGGAUGCAGCGAGGCCGCGUGGGGUAGGACGGCCUUCGGGUUGUAAACUCAUUUCGCUAGGGACGAAGCUUUUUGUGACGGUACCUAGAUAAGAAGCACCGGCUAACUACGUG